rnacentral:lncRNA from 1 species
UAGUUCUUUCUUCGAUGGAAGGCUGCUACGAGAUCCAUCGCGGGAAGCCCAUACCCCCACGUGGCGUAUCUCCUGAACCGCGCUUCUUUUUACCUUCUGCCCCGUGGGGAUCGUGAACGCUGAUUGAUCCACUUUCCUCAGAAAGUGGAUGGGAACGAGAGGACCCGUCAAUCGCAAAGACGCAAAACCAACCAGCCAAGAGGAAGGGUCCCCUUAAUUCUGUGGGAGGAAGCAGAGCAAGACAGCUGAGGAUGUUGGGAGGUGGGGCCUCGGCAGCCUGGAUCUCUUUGGAUGUAAAAUACGAUAAGUAACACCUUCUCUUUGGGAUU